rnacentral:rRNA from 1 species
ACUCCUACGGGGAGGCAGCAGUGGGGGAAUAUUGCACAAUGGGCGCAAGCCUGAUGCAGCCAUGCCGCGUGUAUGAAGAAGGCCUUCGGGUUGUAAAGUACUUUCAGCAGUGAGGAAGGUGGGGUAUGUUAAAUAGCAUACUCAUUUGACGUUAGCNGCAGAAAGAAAGCACCGGGCUAACUCCGUGCCAGCAGCCGCGGUAAUACGGAGGGUGCGAGCGUUAAUCGGAAAUUACUGGGCGUAAAAGCGCAUGCAGGUGGUUUGUUAAAGUCAGAUGUGAAAAGCCCGGGGCUCAAACCUCGGAAUUGCAUUUGAAAACUGGCAAAAACUAGAGUACUGUAGAGGGGGGUGAGAAUUUAUCAGGUGUAGCGGUGAAAAUGCGUAGAGAUCUGAAGGAAAUACCGGUGGCGAAGGCGGCCCCCUGGACAGAUACUGACACUCAGAUGCGAAAAGCGUGGGGAGCAAAACAGGAUUAGAUACCCUGGUAGCUACGAGU